rnacentral:tRNA from 1 species
GGUGGCUCAGUGGUAGAGUGCUUGCCUCGCAUGCAUGAGGCUCUGGGUUCGAAUCCUGAGCACCA